rnacentral:lncRNA from 1 species
GCAUUCUAGUGGGGCCCUGGUUAUGCCUCUUCUGGCUCAGUCGCACAGCUGCCGGGUAGCUGACUGGAGGCAUUCAGCAGUGCUCACUGGGAUUUCGCUGAUGUGGCCCCAACCCUGCCUCCCUCCCCACCCCGCGAUGUCAGAAAAAACACGACAGGGCAAAUUGGCUGAAGCCAGGAAAAAGAAUGAGAACAAGAGUGCACUGCAGUUGGAGCAGCAAGUAAAGGAGCUGCAGGAGAAGCUGGGCGACCUGAAGGGGACAGUAACCUCCGACCCAUCCAAGAAGGUGGCAUUUUUCAACUCCGCUGGAACCAGUGCCCAGGAGGAGCAAAGGAUGUGCUGCCAGCGCCUGGCUCACCCAGUGGCCUUGUCCCAGAAGGAGCCAGAGGCAGCGGCCCCAGCCCGUGAACUAGGGGAAAGUACAUCACCCCAUAUGGGAGCCAGAGGGCAGUGCCAAAGAUGCAGCACCGGGAGGAGGACAUGAUCAGGCUGGCCCAGGACCAGGAGGAGAUGAAGAUCUUUGUGAGGUGAGCCUCACUGACAGAGUGGAGCCUGCACGAGAAGAGGCCAGGGAGGGUUCUUCCCACGACAACCCCACUGCACAGCAGAUUGUGCAGCUGCUUCCUGUAAUGCAGGACUCCCCAGCAGCACCCAGGCUUGGGCAGCAAUCUCUGUAAGCCAUUCUUUUUGGGCUGCCGAGAACAGGCAGAUAAACACCACCAUCAUCUAAGAGCUGGUCAAGAAAUUAAAAAAAAAAAAAAAGUUAAGGGGUUAAUCUCCUACACAAUUCAUUUACUUCAUUUGAAUGUUAGAGCCACUCAUGUUUAUUUGUGUUUCUAAUUUAUAGUUUAAAUUUUAUUUGUAAAAAGUUAAAGGAGAGCGGGUCUUUCCCUCAUGUUCACUCUGACAUCCUUUAGCAUUUAUUUUUUAAUUUGAUAAUUAUAGGACGUUAGCAUGCAUAUCAAGUUUGCCCUUAUGUGGUGGGAGUUCAAACACACAGAGACCCACUAUUUGCACAAAACUAUUCUUCCUGGCUUGGAAUAGGCUGCCCUACUUUUUUAAUGUUAUUGCAACAUGUAUAUUUAUUAUGGAAUUCAGAUAAAAUUUGCUUAUGUUCUGCUAUUA